UAUCAUGACCAGCUAACCAUU
rnacentral:piRNA from 1 species